UUACUGACAUCGUAAAAAUCUCCAGGUA
rnacentral:piRNA from 1 species